GAACCCCAAUUUCACAUUCCAACUGAACGACAAGUUGGCGCACACAUUACCGCAUACAUCCCAAGUUUUGUGCCAGGACCUGCCCCUGAGAAACGUCCAUAAUUCUGCUCCGUGAGCCACAGGGGUGUACCUGAAGUUGCCAACUCCCGAAGCAAACUGAAAAUUCAGGCCCGUGUCGGUCCCAGGAGCGGUUUAAAUUCCACAAUCGUCUCCUCCCUAUACCCGGGACUUGAAAUAGCUGUAUAAGAUGGGGAGCAGUUCAGUGCAUGUCUGGAAAGACAGGAGCUGAUUGCAAUUCUGAAGUUGGACUCAAACUGAAACAGUGACUCCUUUUGGGUCUUGAGCCUGCCAUCCUGGAACUUACACCAUCAGCUCUCCUGGGUCUACUGAUUGUGCAUCUUGGGAUUUUCUAGCCUCCAUAAUUGUUGAGGAGAGCUGACUUGUGUAACCAAUAGGAUACUGCAGAAGUGAUUGAGUGUCCUGACUUCUGAGGCCAGAUCAUAAGAAACAUUGUGGUUUCCAUCUUGUUCUUUUGAAUUACUUGCUCUGGAAGAAGCCGGUCACCAUUUUGUGAGGAAACUCAAGCAGCUCAUGGAAUAGCUCGUGUGGAUAGAAACUCACCACAUGAGUGAGAGAUUCACCACAUGAGUUUUCACCACAUAAAAGUUUGAAAAAUUUGCAGCCUGACAAUGUAGUAGAAAAGAAAACCCCAUUUUCUGGGAAGAAAUUCAAGCUGAUAGCAGCCAUCAUGGAAACCCUGGCCCCAGACAAGGCUUUAAAUGCCUGAAGCCCAGCCCACAUUUUGACUGCAACCUCAGAAGAGAAUCCAAAUCAGAACUACCCAGGAACAUUCGGUAAGAGAAGAACGCCUCAAGAGAGCAUGUGCAAAGCUGCGCAAACACACUGCGCCUGUGGCCCCUCCCAAGGGUUGGCAGAUCACAGCGCAUGUGGACAGCCUACCCCAAAGGAAGAAUCAGGGGAGAAGGGAUGCAACCCCCUGGAAGUACUCCAACCUAUCAACCCCAGGUCAAAGGUCCAGCUGCACGCAUUUUCUCAAGCUGCCUGCUUGGCCCUCUUCCAAGUGUACUUCACUUCCUUUUGUUCCUGCUCUAAAGUGUGUUUAUAAACUUUCACUCCUGCUCUGAAACUUGCCGAGGUCUCUCUCUCUGCCUUAUGCGCCUCCGUCGAAUUCUUUCUUCCGAGGAGGCAAGGACUGAGGUUGCUGCAGACCCGUAUGGAUUCGCCGCCUGUCACAUCACAAUACCACGGUGGUGUAGACCAGACGGUUUCCUCAGAAAGGAGUGAAUACAUGGCUGUCUGUGUACUCGGGAGUGAAACUGGGACACAUUUGUCAUCAUGAAGACUUCCAGUUUUCUCCCUCGUUGCAGUUUGAGGAAAGUGUGCCAUCUGUUUCCUGCCAAGAACCUGCCUGAUAAGCUUUUGGCUAUGCCAGAAAUCUCUUGUCCAGAGCGCCUCUGGUUCAGUGUAUUCAACGAGUAAAUCACCAAGUCUUUGCCACAGAUUAAAUGAGAAAACAAAUGUUCCAAAAAAAGUUGCAGAACAGUAUAUGCAUAAUAUGAUUCACGGAAUUUAAAAUAGUGUGCAUGCACUCCACUUCCACACGCCUCCUGUAUGCUUUGUGAAAUAAAGUUUAUGGGACGUCA